AGAAGCAGCCACCAUUUAAAGAGUGCGUAAUAGCUCACUGGUCGAGAGACUCUGCGCCGAAAAUGUCCGGGGCUAAAGUAUGAAACCGAAGUCGUGUCAUAUGCAGCAAUGUAUAUGGGUAGGGGAGCGUUCUCAUCGGAUUGAAGCAGUACCGUAAGGAGUUGUGGACUGAUGAGAAGUGAGAAUGUCGGUAUGAGUAGCGAAAAGAAUGGUGAGAAUCCAUUCCACCGAAAGCCUAAGGGUUCCUGAGCAACGAUCGUCGUCUCAGGGUAAGUCGGGACCUAAGCCGAGGCGGAAAAGCGUAGGCGAUGGACAACAGGUUGAAAUUCCUGUACCGGUGUGAAUCGUUUGAUCGAAGGAGUGACACAGUAAGGUAGGUCAGCACGCGAUUGGAAGUGCGUGUUUAAGCAUGUAGGUUGAGCUAUAGGCAAAUCCGUAACUCUAAAAGCUGAGAUGUGAUGACGAGCUGUUUACAGCGAAGUGAUUGAUCCUACACUGUCGAGAAAAGCUUCUAGGUAGAGACACAUCGCCCGUACCAAAACCGACACAGGUAGGCGGGGAGAGAAUCCUAAGGUGCGCGGGAAAACCCUCGUUAAGGAACUCGGCAAAAUGCCUCCGUAACUUCGGGAAAAGGAGGACUCAUGUAGUGUGAAGGGCAGUAACGCGUGGAGCAUGAAUGAGUGGCACAAGAGAGGCGCAAGCGACUGUUUACCACAAACACAGGUGCCUGCUAAAGCGAAAGCUGAUGUAUAGGUGCUGACACCUGCCCGGUGCUGGAAGGUUAAGAGGAGGGGUUAGACUUCGGUCGAAGCUCUGAAUUGAAGCCCCAGUAAACGGCGGCCGUAACUAUAACGGUCCUAAGGUAGCGAAAUUCCUUGUCGGGUAAGUUCCGACCCGCACGAAAGGUGUAACGACUUGCGCACUGUCUCAACGAGGGACCCGGUGAAAUUGAAGUACCUGUGAAGAUGCAGGUUACCCGCGACUGGACAGAAAGACCCCAUGGAGCUUUACUGCAACCUAAGAUUGAACUUAGUUAAUGAAUGUACAGGAUAGGUGGGAGACUUAGAAUCUAGGGCGCCAGUCUUAGAGGAGUCGUUGUUGGGAUACCACCCUUUGAUUAAUUGAUUUCUAACAGGCCGAUUAACAACCGGCUGGACAGUCUUAGGCGGGCAGUUUGACUGGGGCGGUCGCCUCCUAAAGAGUAACGGAGGCGCCCAAAGGUUCCCUCAGAGCGGACGGAAAUCGCUCGAAGAGUGUAAAGGCAGAAGGGAGCUUGACUGCGAGACGGACAGGUCGAGCAGGGACGAAAGUCGGGCUUAGUGAUCCGGUGGUGCCGAGUGGAAGGGCCAUCGCUCAACGGAUAAAAGCUACCCUGGGGAUAACAGGCUAAUCUCUCCCAAGAGUCCAUAUCGACGGGGAGGUUUGGCACCUCGAUGUCGGCUCAUCACAUCCUGGGGCUGAAGUAGGUCCCAAGGGUUCGGCUGUUCGCCGAUUAAAGUGGUACGUGAGCUGGGUUCAGAACGUCGUGAGACAGUUCGGUCCCUAUCCAUCGCGGGCGCAAGAAACUUGAAGGGGGCUGCUCCUAGUACGAGAGGACCGGAGUGGACGAACCGCUGGUGUACCAAUUAUCC
rnacentral:rRNA from 1 species